rnacentral:rRNA from 1 species
AUUGAACGCUGGCGGCAUGCCUUACACAUGCAAGUCGAACGGCAGCACGGGAGCAAUCCUGGUGGCGAGUGGCGAACGGGUGAGUAAUAUAUCGGAACGUGCCCAGUCGUGGGGGAUAACGCAGCGAAAGCUGUGCUAAUACCGCAUACGAUCUAAGGAUGAAAGCGGGGGAUCGCAAGACCUCGCGCGAUUGGAGCGGCCGAUAUCAGAUUAGCUAGUUGGUGGGGUAAAGGCCCACCAAGGCGACGAUCUGUAGCUGGUCUGAGAGGACGACCAGCCACACUGGAACUGAGACACGGUCCAGACUCCUACGGGAGGCAGCAGUGGGGAAUUUUGGACAAUGGGCGCAAGCCUGAUCCAGCAAUGCCGCGUGCAGGAUGAAGGCCUUCGGGUUGUAAACUGCUUUUGUACGGAACGAAACGGCCCUUUCUAAUACAGGGGGCUAAUGACGGUACCGUAAGAAUAAGCACCGGCUAACUACGUGCCAGCCGCCGCAGUAA